rnacentral:lncRNA from 1 species
CGGAAGCUUCAUGUGAAUGAUCCACAGAGGCCAGAUAUAUUGUGUGGCUAUAUUGCGAUGAUCAAACCUUCCCGACGGUGAUCAGACUACGACGAUCGACUACCCGCACGAAGAUAAUGUAUUCUGAACACAUAACAGUAAAAUAUUUACUGUAGAAUUUUAAAUUUUAAAUUUAAAUGCAUGUAAUAUAUAUCAUAUUUAGAUCUUUUUAUAGGGUUAAUACA